rnacentral:rRNA from 1 species
GCCCAGCACCGAAUCCUGCACCGUUCUGGUGCUAGGAAAUGUGGUGUUUAGGCCGUGCUUUGCGCUGGUAUGAUUCUCCUCAAGUCCACUUGAUUGUGGCUUCAGGCCCAGAGAGGGUGUAAGGCCCGUGGAGGCGAGUCGUCCGGUGCCCGGCAUGUCCUUAGAGUCGGGUUGUUUGGGAAUGCAGCCCAAAGAGGGUGGUAAACUCCAUCCAAGGCUAAAUACUAGCACGAGUCCGAUAGCGAAGAAGUACCGCGAGGGAAAGUUGAAAAGAACUUUGAAGAGAGAGUUCAAGAGUACGUGAAACCGCUGAGAGGCAAACUGGUGGAGCUGAAAUGGUCUUGAGGAAUUCAGCCCGUCCUGCUGACGAUGGCUUCGGUUGUGAGAUCUCACGACUCCGCUGUUGCUAAUCUGCUGGUAGGAUAGGUGCACUUUCUUCUUGACCGGACCACGACCGGCGACUUGUCUUGGCUGACAUAGGUGGAAGGUAGCGUUCACUUUCAGUGCACGUGUUAUAGCCACUUGUUCGGAUCGAGCGAGGCGUUGGAAGCAUUUACAGACGCUUGCCCUCUGGGCUCGUACGUCGUCUCUUUCAGAUGUGUCACUGGCUUCACUGCCUUGGCAGGGGAGUUGGGGACGCGUCGGUUAGCGGCGGCCUCUGCGAUUGGCGUCGACAGUCUGUGGUUUUGAAGUAGGCAGUCCACCUGACCCGUCUUGAAACACGGACCAAGGAGUCUAACAUGUGCGCGAGUCAUUGGGUUCUACGAAACCUAAAGGCGCAGUGAAAGUGAAGAUUCAUUCUGAUGGAUUGAGGUGGGAUCCUGGGUUACGUGCUCAGGCGCACUACCGGCCCGUUCGACAUGUUUUCAUGCGGGCGGAGCAAGAGCGUACACGUUGGGACCCGAAAGAUGGUGAACUAUGCUUGCGCAGGUGGAAGCCAGAGG